AUUGAACGCUGGCGGCAGGCCUAACACAUGCAAGUCGGACGGUAGCACAGAGGAGCUUGCUCCUUGGGUGACGAGUGGCGGACGGGUGAGUAAUGUCUGGGGAUCUGCCCGAUAGAGGGGGAUAACCACUGGAAACGGUGGCUAAUACCGCAUAACGUCGCAAGACCAAAGGGGGGGACCUUCGGGCCUCUCACUAUCGGAUGAACCCAGAUGGGAUUAGCUAGUAGGCGGGGUAAUGGCCCACCUAGGCGACGAUCCCUAGCUGGUCUGAGAGGAUGACCAGCCACACUGGAACUGAGACACAGUCCAGACUCCUACGGGAGGCAGCAGUGGGGAAUAUUGCACAAUGGGCGCAAGCCUGAUGCAGCCAUGCCGCGUGUAUGAAGAAGGCCUUCGGGUUGUAAAGUACUUUCAGCGGGGAGGAAGGCGGUGAGGUUAAUAACCUUGCCGAUUGACGUUACCCGCAGAAGAAGCACCGGCUAACUCCGUGCCAGCCGCCGCGGUAA
rnacentral:rRNA from 1 species